rnacentral:rRNA from 1 species
UUCCGGUUGAUCCUGCCGGAGCCACUGCUAUUGGGGUUCGGCUAAGCCAUGCGAGUGGUGGGCGUUCCGAAAGGGAUAGCCCCGCACACGGCUCAGUAACACGUAGUUAACCUGCCCUCGGGACGGGAACAACGCCGGGAAACUGGCGAUAAUUCCAGAUAGGUGGGGGACACUGGAAUGCCUCCUUGCCUAAAUCCUCUGGGGGCCCGAGGAUGGGACUGCGGCCUAUCAGGCUGUUGGCGGUGUAACGGACCACCAAACCUACAACGGGUACGGGCGAUGGGAGUCGGAGCCCGGAGAUGGGGACUGAGACAAGGCCCCAGGGCCUACGGGGCGCAGCAGGUACGAAAACUCCGCAAUGCGCGAAAGCGUGACGGGGGAACCCCAAGUGCCGUUGGUCUUUGAUCGACGGCUUUUAGGGAGUCUAAGAAGCUCCCAGAAUAAGGGCUGGGCAAGUCGGGUGCCAGCCGCCGCGGUAAUACCCGCAGCCCAAGUGGUGGUCGCGAUUAUUGGGCCUAAAGCGUUCGUAGCCGGGUCAGCAAGUCCCUUGUGAAAUCGGGCGGCCUAACCGUUCGGCUUGCAAGGGAUACUGUUGGUCUUGAGGCCGGGAGACGUCUGAGGUACUCCGGGGGUAGCGGUAAAAUGCUGUAAUCCUCGGGGGACCACCAGUGGCGAAGGCGUCAGACGAGAACGGACCUGACGGUGAGGGGCGAAGGCUAGGGGAGCGAACGGGAUUAGAUACCCCGGUAGUCCUAGCUGUAAAGCAUGCGGGCCAGGUGUCUGGUGUUCCUUGAGAGCACCAAGUGCCGGAGGGAAGCCGUUAAGCCCGCCGCCUGGGAAGUACGGUCGCAAGGCUGAAACUUAAAGGAAUUGGCGGGA